GUGCUCACUUCGGCAACAUAUAUACUAAAAUUGAAACGAUACGGAGAUUAGCAUGACCCCUGGGCAAGGAUGACAUGCGAAUUCAUGAAGUGUUCCAUAUUUUU